rnacentral:misc_RNA from 1 species
AAAAGGUAACACUUCCUCAUACUCUGUCACUCUGAUUGGGGCUGCCUCUAAUGAGUAUCUACAGCACCAUGCAACAAAAUAGCAGACAUUGUCCUAAUCUACUGCCGUCUAACAUGGUAACACAUUUGCUCAUUUGACACAAUCUUCAUCUAAUGAGUCAUGGAUUUUUGAUUCUGGAGCCUCAGAUCAUAUUUUUGGCAACCAAACUCUUUUACCUAUUCUUAAUUUUUUUUUCAGACUUUGCUGAUAUUAUCCUACCUAAUGGAUCAAAAACUAUAGUUAACGGAAUAGGUAAGGCUCACCCUCUUCCUUCCUUACUUUUAAAUUCAGUUUUAUUUGCGCCUAAAUGUCCAUAUAAUUUGAUA